GAUGAACGCUGGCGGCGUGCUUAACACAUGCAAGUCGAACGGAAAGGCUCCUGCUUGCCGGGGUACUCGAGUGGCGAACGGGUGAGUAACACGUGGGUGAUCUGCCCUGCACUUCGGGAUAAGCCUGGGAAACUGGGUCUAAUACCGGAUAGGACGAUGGUUUGGAUGCCAUUGUGGAAAGUUUUUUCGGUGUGGGAUGAGCUCGCGGCCUAUCAGCUUGUUGGGGGGGUAAUGGCCUACCAAGGCGUCGACGGGUAGCCGGCCUGAGGGGGUGGACGGCCACAUUGGGCUGGAGGUGGGCCCCGGCCCCCUGGGGGAGGGAGCGGGGGGGAAUGUGGAACAGUGGGCGCAAGCCUGAUGCAGCGCCGCGGGGUGGGGGAUGAGGGCCUGCGGUUUGUAAACUCCUUCCGCAGGGAACAAAGCGAAAGUGACGGUACCGGGAAAAGAAGCCCCGGCUAACUACGUG
rnacentral:rRNA from 1 species